GGGUACCCCCUCCGCGUCUAGGGCUCGUCCUAAGAAAAAGAAUUCCUCGAAGAUGCCAAAACAUGUGAAGAAGCGGCCAUUGAGCUUUGUGGAUAUGUUGAAUGCACCUAAUUCGCCUACGGAUCAAGAGAGGGCGGAGGUAUGUAUCUCUACUUUAUUUUCUUGAUUUCAUGAUUAUAUGCACGCGUACAUGUGAACUUGUGAUAUAUUAUAAUCUUAUAAUUUUUUCAUACAGGAAAUAUCCAUACCUAUUUCGUCAAUGGCGAACCCUCCUCCUUGCACUGGAGAAGCAUCUCAGGAUCCGGUAAUAGCGACAAUUUCUACAUCGAUGGUGAGCCAUCCUCAGUCCAUUGGAGAAGCAUCUCAGGCACAGGUA